rnacentral:lncRNA from 1 species
AAAGAAUUGAUAACUCGUCGGCAACCAAUUCAAAUGGAUCAUAGUUUCAAAUUCAGUAACGAAUGUUCCAACCUGGAGCCUAGCCGUUUUGACUUGCCUUAAGUUUUUCCUCCUCCUUCUCUCUUGCCUGCAAGCAGAACAACCUGGCCCAUAAGUGAUCUUUCCCCACACAUUCACAUAGAACAAGUAGUUUGACGUCGGCCAAAAAUCAGGAAAAACUGGUCACCAAUUACCAAUUCGGGCCAAAAUCAUAGUCUUUGAUGAGGAAGUCACCGAGUUCCAGGAAACAUACCUUCUGGUCCUUCUUCAACUUCUGCUCCAGGAAAUGUCUUUGAUGGCCGUUUGCGCCGCCGCGAGGAACACGGAGGGGCGGUCGCCGCUGGCUGACUUGCCGGCGUCGAGGUAGAUAUUGAUCCAGCGUCUCCGCUGCCAGCAGCCUACCACCACUGCCAUCUCGUAUGUCGUCGAAUGCAGCGGAAGGAAGCCGUGCUACGCCACCGCCGAAACGCC